rnacentral:tRNA from 1 species
UCCGCAUUAGUCCAGUGGUUAGGAUACCUCGCUCUCAGAUUCGGGUUCCGAGGUGGCCGGGGUUCGAUUCCCCGAUGCGGAA